ACGGUGACGUUAAGCAUAUCCCAAAAAUAACGUCCCAGUUCGGAUUGUAGUCUGCAACUCGACUACAUGAAGCUGGAAUCGCUAGUAAUCGCGAAUCAGAAUGUCGCGGUGAAUACGUUCCCGGGUCUUGUACACACCGCCCGUCACACCAUGGGAGUCGGAAAUGCCCGAAGUCAGUGACCUAACCGAAAGGGAGGAGCUGCCGAAGGUGGAGCCGGUAACUGGGGUGAAGUCGUAACAAGGUACC
rnacentral:rRNA from 1 species